rfam:Triticum aestivum genome assembly, contig: Triticum_aestivum_CS42_TGACv1_scaffold_080143_1DS
CAACUACUCCCUCUGUCCCAAAUUUCUUGUCUUAGAUUUGUCUAGAUAUGGAUGUAUCUAAUACUAAAAUGUGACUUGAUACAUCCGUAUCUAGACAAAUCUAAGACAAGAGUUUUGGUACAGAGGGAGUACUUU